UCAACAGAUGUCGCUGCAUGUAAAUGCA
rnacentral:sRNA from 1 species